rnacentral:rRNA from 1 species
UAUUGGACAAUGGGCGCAAGCCUGAUCCAGCAAUACCGCGUGUGUGAAGAAGGCCUUAGGGUUGUAAAGCACUUUCAAUUGGGAGGAAAACCUGCCGGUCAAUACCCGGUAGCUUGACAUUACCUUUAGAAGAAGCACCGGCUAACUCCGUGCCAGCAGCCGCGGUAAUACGGAGGGUGCGAGCGUUAAUCGGAAUUACUGGGCGUAAAGCGUGCGUAGGCGGUUCGUUAAGUCAGAUGUGAAAGCCCUGGGCUCAACCUGGGAACUGCAUUUGAAACUGGCGGACUAGAGUUUAGUAGAGGGGAGUGGAAUUUCAGGUGUAGCGGUGAAAUGUGUAGAUAUCUGAAGGAACACCAGUGGCGAAGGCGACUCCCUGGACUAGAACUGGCGCUGAGUACGAAA